rnacentral:lncRNA from 1 species
CCGGGGUACCCCGCACCUCGCACUCCGAGCCCGCCCGGGCGGCGCCGGCUUCUCAGGGGGUCGGGCGGGGACCGUGGCCACCAGGCCUGUUCCGAAGCCCCGCCUCGGUCCUCUGAGGAUCUCGCGGGCUGUGGGCGGAAGCCAGCCGGGCAGAUGGGCGCGCCCCUCUUGUGCAGGCGGGGCCUUCCCACGCCUCGCAGCCGCCUCCGCCGUUUUGGAGCGGGAACCCAGGCGAGCCCGCCCACCCCUCUGAUGGGUUCGACCGAGCUUGAGCCAACGCGGCGGCGCGGGCCCUUGCGGGUGGGGAGGACCCGCCUGGGUCUCACACCUGCCGGCCGGGCGGCCCCGCGUCCUGGCGCCCCGGCAGCAGGCGCGGCGGGACCGGGCGCGAUGCCUGGUUUCUCCGGAGCCGCUACAAAAGGAAACUUUAAAACUUAGAUGUCCAGCGGCGCCAGACCUCCCCGAGCCUGGGCAGAGCCGGCUCCCUCUGCUCCACCCCAGCCGGGCCGGAGGGGGCAGCCCCGGGCAGCCGCAGGAGGACGCGGAGCGGGCCCCAGAGUGCCCACGGCCCACUUUUCCCCGACAGCCUCCGUCUCGGGAGAGGCCCACACGCCCUGCCCGCCACGGGGACAGCGGAGGCCCGGGGCGCCCGCGUCCUCGGAGCUCGCUGCCGGGAAGGCUUUUGCCCUCUGCGGGGGGAAUCGGCGGCCUGGGACAGUCUCUGGCCCACGGAACACACGCAGCUUGUACAUACUCCUCUUUGGGAGCAGAAGGAAGGACAGUGAGACAAGACACCUCCUUGGACAGGCGUGGACUGUGCCAGGCGCGGGGAAGGACUGGUGGCCAUGGCUCUGCACUCCUCAGAGAGGGACAGAGGCCCCAGUGGCUCUGAGCCCCUCUGUCCUCGGGUGCGGCUCUCUCUCCGCAGCAGCUCUGUCCGUCCCACUGAGCCCAGGCUGCCCACAGGGGCGGGGACACCAGGUCCUGGGGCAGCCAGCAGCCUGAUGGGGCUCAGCAGCCGAGGGAGUCCCAAGCACCUGGGCGGGGCCAACUGCAGGUCAGUCCUGCUGAGAAAGAGAAGUAGGCCCAGCCCAGCCUUGCACAUGCCUGACCCCGUUGACAGCAGGUUGUAGAAAACGCAAGCUUUCCAUGCCAGGAGGCAGCCCCGAGGUUGGUUGCCUGGUGAGGGGCCAAGAAAGGCAGGCAUGAGGGGAUGUUUCUGGGAUGUCACACACUGGCCGUCACUGUAGUGCUGCGCCUCAGGCGUGGAAACGCUGUGUUCCAGAACACGGGAAAGUUUAAACGCGUCCAGUGCAACGUGGGCCUCACCUCAGUGAGACGGUCGGGCCACAGACGUGCACCAAACCCCAGAGCGGUGCUGAGACCCCAACCCCAGGCCCAUGGGGGAGGCGAGGUCCCGAGAAGCCCCUUUCCGCCUCCCGG